AGUAGAUCAUUUUUUUCCAAGCUUAAUCAAGAAUGUGUAUGAAAACAAAUAUGGUUAUUAUACUGGUAUAGCUGCUAAGGUGAAUUUAAAUAUUUAUAGGCAGCAACGUGAUCAUGAAAUUUAGGAGAUCAAAGUGUAAUUUUCGUCAGGAACAACAUACGGUUUGGCGCCCCGCUUCAAUCUUGUUAUUCCAUUCCAUUGUGUUGUUGAUUCUGGGCUUUCUGCGAAGGGGAGUAAGGUGGAAGAAGAUUAAAUCUUGGCAUAUAAGGCUAAAAGGGUGACAAAGCGAAUGGGUUGCAAUUGAUCAUUGACAGGUGCCGAAGUUUGAUUUGCUGAUCCACCUGUUUAGGAUAUUUGCUGCGUCGUU